UCGUCAAUAGCUCAGAUGAUAGAGCACUCGUCUAUUUAACGAGAGGUCUCAAGUUCGAUUCUGGGUGGAGGCA
rnacentral:tRNA from 1 species